rnacentral:rRNA from 1 species
CCUACGGGAGGCAGCAGUGGGGAAUAUUGCACAAUGGGGGAAACCCCGAUGCAGCAACGCCGCGUGAGUGAUGACGGCCUUCGGGAUGUAAAGCUCUGUCUUCAGGGACGAUAAUGACGGUACCUGAGGAGGAAGCCACGGCUAACUACGUGCCAGCAGCCGCGGUAAUA